GACGAACGCUGGCGGCGUGCCUAAUACAUGCAAGUCGAACGCAGGGGGGACGGGUGAGUAACACGUGGGUAACCUCCCAUCAGAGGGGAUAACACGUGGAAACAGGUGCUAAACCGAUAUUGGUGGAUGGACCCGCGGUGGAUGAGCUAGAUGGUGAGGUAACGGCCCACCAAGGCCAAGAGGCAUAGCUGACCUGAGAGGGUGAUCGGCCACACUGGGACUGAGACACGGCCCAGACUCCUACGGGAGGCAGCAGUAGGGAAUCUUCGGCAAUGGACGAAAGUCUGACCGAGCAACGCCGCGUGAGUGAAGAAGGCUUUCGGAUCGUAAAACUCUGUUGUUAGAGAAGCGGUAUCUAACCAGAAAGCCACGGCUAACUACGUGCCAGCAGCCGCGGUAAUUC
rnacentral:rRNA from 1 species